rnacentral:rRNA from 1 species
UACGUAGGGGGCAAGCGUUGUCCGGAAUCAUUGGGCGUAAAGAGCGCGUAGGCGGUCCGGUAAGUCGGUUGUGAAAGUCGGGGGCUCAACCCUCGGAUGCCGAUCGAUACUGUCGGGCUAGAGUCCGGAAGAGGCGAGUGGAAUUCCUGGUGUAGCGGUGAAAUGCGCAGAUAUCAGGAGGAACACCAAUGGCGAAGGCAGCUCGCUGGGACGGUACUGACGCUGAGGCGCGAAAGCGUGGGGAGCAAACAGG